rnacentral:lncRNA from 1 species
GUACAACUCACCACCUCCACCGGUUUACAAGUACAAGUCGCCUCCUCCCCCGGUCCAUUAUCCCUCACCAGUUUACAAGUACAACUCACCACCUCCCCCAGUCCAUUAUUACACUCCUCCAUAUUCCUACAAAUCACCUCCACCUCCCUCUCCGGUUUACAAAUACAACUCACCACCUCCACCGGUCCAUCAUGAUUCUCCCCCAUACUACUACAAGUCACCUCCACCCCCCUCACCAGUACUCCUCCAUAUUCCUACAAAUCACCUCCACCUCCCUCUCCGGUUUACAAAUACAACUCACCACCUCCACCGGUCCAUCAUGAUUCUCCCCCAUACUACUACAAGUCACCUCCACCCCCCUCACCAGUUUACAAGUACAACUCUCCACCUCCACCAGUUUACAAGUAUAAGUCGCCUCCUCCCCCGGUCCACUAUCCAUCACCGGUUUACAAGUACAACUCACCACCUCCACCGGUUUAUAAGUACAACUCACCACCUCCUCCAGUCCAUUAUUAUUCUCCUCCAUAUUACUACAAGUCACCUCCACCUCCUUCUCCGAUUUACAAAUACAACUCACCACCUCCACCAGUCCAUCAUGAUUCUCCCCCAUAUUACUACAAGUCACCUCCACCCCCCUCACCGGUUUACAAGUACAACUCACCACCUCCACCGGUUUAUAAGUACAACUCACCACCUCCACCGGUUCAUUAUUAUUCUCCUCCAUAUUACUACAAGUCACCUCCACCUCCAUCUCCGGUUUACAAAUACAACUCACCACCUCCACCGGUCCAUCAUGAUUCUCCCCCAUAUUACUACAAGUCACCUCCACCCCCCUCACCGGUUUACAAGUACAACUCACCAC